rnacentral:misc_RNA from 1 species
CUUUACGGCCUAAGCUUAUCUGCUGUCCACAUGGGAGACUCCCAUAUCGUCUUUAAUGAAGUUCAUGGUAGGGGCAAAGACUUUACUCUUCUAACCAGCACAAGUAGUCUGUGCUCCAAAUACAAAAAUAGUGAGUAGUCUGUGUCAUAGAUAUAAAGACAUAUAUAAUAAGUCUUAUAAAGACAAGCAUAGAUCAUAGAUAAAGACAAGUGUGUCUGUGCGUGUCCAAAUACAAUAAAAACUGAGGUUAGAAACCAUAUAGUACACACAAUAACAACAACAACAUCACGGGGGGAUAUUUUGUGGUUAGAAACAUUCGAAGCUUUAUGCUUACAAUUUUUCUCUCAAAGUGAAUGGAAUAACGAGGACCGAUUUUUACAAUUAUUAUCAAUAUAUGUUGAUUCAAGAAGAACUUGUCGGCAUUCUGUAGGACGUUUGUUCAAACAAUUUCCUAAAAUAUGUCGAAAAAUGGAGUCACAGCUGAGGAAAAGAAAUCUCGAAUGAUUGAACUAUUUUAUGAAACCGGAGAAUGCUAUCAACUUAAAGAAUUGGAAAAGUUGGCACCUAAAGCAAAGGGAAUUGUUGCUAACUCAGUGAAGGAUAUUAUCCAAAAAUUGGUGGAUGAUGGUUUAAUAGAUUCAGAUAAAAUCGGAACUUCCAUCUACUACUGGUCAUUUCCAAGCAAGGGAAUUAAUCUGCGUAAAAGAAAACUUAGUGAAAUAACGAAAAAAUAUGAAGACGUCAGUAAAAAGCAAAAGCUAAUGAACGACACUUUGCAGGACUCGGAUAUAAACCAAGAUGAAGACAAACUGAGUAAAAUAUUAGGCGAAAUCACGGAUAUCGAGUUGGAUUUAGCGACACUUAAGAGACAACUAGUCGAAUUCCAAGAUAAUGAUCCUGAAAAGUUUGACGCCUUAAAAACAAAAACUGUGGGCUUGAAAGAUGCGGCUAACCGAUGGACCGACAAUAUUUUUGCAGUCAAGACUUGGUGCAAAAACAAAUUUCUCAUUGAAGGUAAAGUCCUGAAUAAACAGUUUGGUAUUCCAGAGGAUUUGGAUUACAUUGAAUAAGUUCAACAUUGCAUUGCAGCCUCUUAAUUUAGAUUCAACAGAAUAGAUUAUUUUUUGUAAAAGUUUGGCUGUGACCAAAGCGUCCAUAUGGAAAUAUUUUUCAAACUAUUGUUUUUGUGUAACUUGUUGUACCCAUUCAAAAAGUUUGAAUAUAGUUUAGUUACCUUGAAAAAUCGAGUUGAAGCCCUAUUCACUUAGCUGGCAGGAAAAUGAAUCAGUGCUCGGGGAGUUCGAAAAUAGUCCGACAGGGGUUAUCCAAUCCACAGAUCACAGAGUACCUCUGUAUAUCCCCUAUCCCCUGUGAUAAGCCCUGUUCUAUGGAUCCAAUCAGCGGAUAACCUAAACGUUUGAUGCUGCCUCGAAAAUCUGUUUAUUGCUUUUUUUUUAUAAAACAUUGGUUUAAUAUGCCGCUUCCUCCAGCGCUAGCGGCUAAAUUAGCCAAAAGAGGCCUGAUAACGUCUAAGCAAAGGACAGUCGAUCCCCUAAAGAAGCCCGAUUUCAAAGGCCUAUCGACUUGUCCCAACAAAAAUAAUAUAUUCCAUGAGUGCAACCACUGGUGUGAGACUCAUUGGAAAGGAGUGCCCAAUCCUGAUGCCAAAUAUCUUCGAAACAUGCAAAAGCUACUAUCCAAAUAUCCUUUACCAAAUAAUUGGACGGAGAUAUUCGAUAAAGGACUGGGAAGAUAUUAUUACUGGAACAUGGAAAACGACAUUGUCACAUGGCUACCUCCCAAGCAUCCUAAAGCAAUAUUAACGAAAAGUGCUGCCAAAUUAAGAGAAUGGCGUCUACAAGAUAAAAAGCAGAAGGAAAUGGAUGAGAUGCUUAGAAAAGAAAGAGCCGAGAGAGACAACAUGGGCAGAGAUCGUGACAAAGACUCUGAUGAUGAGGACAGAAGUUACAAAUCAAAAUAUUCGGACAGGAGAGAUAAAGAACGAGACAGGGAUGACCGAAGAGGCAAAAGAGAACGCGAAGAUCGCUAUAGAAGAGAUCGUGACAAAAGGAAAAGAGAUGACCAACUUGAUCCUAUGGAUCCAGCAGCUUACUCCGAUAUUCCCCAAGGAACGUGGAGUGAUGGAUUGGAAUCGAAUAAAACCAGAGCAGACAGCACUGCUUCCGGUGUGCUUUUCCAACAGAGACCUUAUCCUGCUCCAGGCGCGGUUUUGGCUUCAAACAGAGAAAAGGAAGAAAAAGAGCGAAGAAAGUAAAAGCGUACUAUUCUAGGUACAUGCGUGUAUUUUUAAAUAAAAAACUUUACUCUUACCUAAGCUUUACAUUGCUAAUUAGAAUGUAAAGAUUUCUUUCCGUGGAAUUGGAACGCUAUUAGUUUGACCGUCGUUUUUUUAUUCUCGAGAUGUAAAAAAAAUUCAGUAAAAUGCACACAUUUAUUUAUAGAAAAUACAGUACUUAGAUA